GGAUUAGAUACCCUGGUAGUCCACGCCGUAAACGAUGAGCACUAGUUGUUGUGGGUAUUGACCCUCGCAGUGACGACGCCAACGCAUUAAGUGCUCCGCCUGGGGACUACGGCCGCAAGGCUAAAACUCAAAGGAAUUGACGGGGGCCCGCACAAGCGGUGGAGUAUGUGGUUUAAUUCGACGCAACGCGCAGAACCUUACCCGGUCUUGACAUUGAGGGAAAGCCCGUAGAAAUGCGGGCCCCACCUUCGGGUGGCCCAAAAACAGGUGCUGCAUGGCUGUCGUCAGCUCGUGUUG
rnacentral:rRNA from 1 species